CAGUGGGGAGGUAAAGAAGACUUCCCCCAACUUGGACUUGGGCCCCCACUCAGUCUCCUUGACUCUUCAGAAACCCGAGGAAUCCGCUGAGCCAGAGUAUGCCCAGGAUGCUGCAAAGGGAGAUGGGAAACCGAGGCACAACAGAGGAAAGUGCUUUUGCCGAUGGCCACAUAGCUCUGAGCACUGGAGGCAGAGAUGGAGCCUCCAGGUCUCCCAACUCCAGCCCCCAGCCCAUUUACUUGAUGGAGUUCUCGGCUAAUGAGGUGGGGAGAGUGGCCUCCCAAGUGGAAGCUGUGGGGACCUGCAGUCAACUUGCCUCCUCCAUUUCAAUCUUGGACUUGGCCAGGAGGAGCUUUCGGUCAAAGUCACGCUGCUUCUGCUCCCGCUCAGCCUCCAG